UCCAUGACAAUAUGCUAAACAAAAAAAAGGAAUUAAUAUCAGUCUAAGAGAGGGUAAUUCGCAACCCUUAGAACGCUCAAGUAUCUCCAAGGAAAGGGGUAGUCCACUCUCUGCCUCAAAGAACUAAGCUCUAAUAUUGUGAUUGAGAAAAUAUUAGUUUAGAGGAGGGUAAUCCGCAACCUCUAAAAAAUGCUAGUAUACCUUCAAGUAGAGGGGUAAUCCACACUCAACUAAGAAAGAACUAGCUCUGAUAUCUCAAGUUAGUGUAGUCUCGACAAACUGUCACGGACACAAAAUACGGACUUGAAAUCUAAUAAGAAGUUCAAGAAGAAGUGGCAGAACUAGAUUAAACAGAUGAGUACAAGAACAACACCAGAAAGGUGAGCUAGAACUCCAAGAGAUGUG
rnacentral:lncRNA from 1 species